UGGAAACCUGGGAGCUUGCAGUUUGCUGGGGGUGAAGCGCUGAAGGAGCAAGAUUAAUUGGUUUCAGAGUUUCUAAUAGGUGGAUUCCAUGUCCCUCACAAAGGAUAUAAUUUGCAAGCAGGCAUUGUGAGUGAGUGCUGUACCUCCACAAUCAUCAGAUCACAGGAGUUGCAUUUUUCUGAGCAAGUAACCAUAAGUGGCAGUAAAAGUUCUGAUAGCUUGGAAAAAGAUGACCAUUUCUAGGAAAAUCUUGACCCUGAUUUCUUUGGGGCAGAUGCACCUCUUCUGCAUUUGUGUAGCUUCCACACAAAGAGGGGUCAUAAAGCAUGUGCGGAUCCAAGAUAAAUGGGUGAAACCUUCUUCUGAGGGAACGGGGAUUUAGACAGCAUGUUUGCUUUUGGACCUAACCUGGUAAGGUUGAGCUAGAUUUUUCCAUUGCUACUUACCUGCACUACGACAGAUAUGAAUAACUCACGGACUGAAAAAUAUGACAUGAGACAAACACAAAUUUCAAGGAACUGAUAAAGCAUCACUGAAUUCCUUGGGCCAGUGAAUUUGGCUACUUUAAUAAAGCAGUUUUUACAGCUAUGUAUGCCUUUCUU
rnacentral:lncRNA from 1 species